rnacentral:rRNA from 1 species
AUCUAAGCGUGAAGCCCCCCUUAAGAUGAGAUAUCCCGUGAGGAAUCACAUAAGACCCCUUAGAGACGAUGAGGUAGAUAGGGCAGAGGUGGAAGUGCGGUAACGCAUGCAGCUGACUGUCACUAAUAGGUCGAAGGCUUAUCCAAAA